CCGAUUUGUUUUCUCUCAAAGUGAGAAGAAAAGAUCAACGAAUGAUCAGUCAAAGCGUAUGAUAAGCAAAUUAUACAGCUGGCGCACGUUAGCAGCAAGACUUAUGCCUACUGAGUUGAGGCGGUGACUCUCCGUACACUCUUUGAGUGAGCGACUCGCGCUUUCUCUAUAAAAGGAGUGCUUCGUAGGUGAAUGGUUCUCGUGUUCUGUUGGUUAACUAAAACUUUUAACUAAAAAGAGCCAUUGCCAGCGAAGCUUUCGUACUCUAGCUACCAAAAGCAAAACCACCUCUAGCGAGGAAAACCCGUAGGGAGAGAGAGAGAGAUUGAAACGCCUCUCCGUCGUCGUUUCUGCUUCUCUAAUCGGAUUUUCGAAUGAAAAUGGCGGAUCAUUACCUGCUAGGAUGGAUCUUGGCAUCUGUCAUGGGGCUUUUCGCUUUCUACUAUAUUGUUUAUUUGCUAGUGAAGCCGGAGGAGGACAAUAAUAGACGAUCCCUCCCUCAGCCGAGAAGCGACUUCGUCAAGACUAUGACAGCUACGAAUGGAGAAUGCAGAUCCGAUGACGACAGCGACGUUGACGUCAUCAUCGUCGGCGCCGGUGUUGCUGGCGCCGCUCUCGCUCAUACCCUCGGCAAGGUGAUUUGGUUUGUUGCUGUUUUGUUUAUUUUUCCACACGCUGCAUUUUUUCGGUAACCGAGGUGAAGUAUUUAUUUAAUUUUGCUUUUAUCUUUUUCUUUUUGAAAUUCGAAAUGUUUUGCCUACAUGGCUUAUGAGCUUUGCCACAUUUAAUAAUUUUUUUUUUUCGCUUAUGAGCGUGAGCUGUAGGUGUUUGUAUACUUCGCUGUGUAGAUAUCAACAGUGAUUUUGCCUUUUCUUUUCCUUUUCAUUUUUCCUCCCUGUAUUCUCUCUGUCUCUGGUUUUCUGACUGAACAAGGAUUUUAUUAAGGUGUUCUGAUGUAUAACUGGGUUUGAUUUUAACUUACAAAGACUGAAGUCUACGGAGUUGAACUGGAUUGGAUUAUGCUCAUCAGUUUUUGUUAUAUUGUUUUUCUGCUUUCCAUGGGUAUAUACGGUUAUUUUAUUUUUUAAGUACAGAUUAUAUAUUAUAGUCUAGAACUAGGUUAACAUGUGAUUUUAUUCAUUCUGUGUGGAGGCUAUUUAUAGUUCCAUCAGAGGCACGAAUAGAAGAUGAGUAUUCUGUAUAUGCAUAUAUUUGCAGGCCUGUAAAUAUGCCAGUACUCUUAGGAUAUUUUGGUCUUUUCGUUGGACUGACGAUAAAAAUAUGUGCGUAGAAUCACCCGUAAAGCCAGCGUACCUGCAAUUUACCCCUUCCCUUUUCUGAUGGGAAGGGGAUACAAAUAGUGUUGUCACUUCUGACGAGUUUAUUUCUAAAAUUUUUCUUUUUUAUUUUUCGGUUUUCUAAAAUUACUAUUAAGGCCUCAAAGUGCUUACAGAUGCAGCAGUUUGUUGAUAUGUAUUUGUGUGUAAAAUGAAAUCAUUUUGGACUUGGCGGUGGAAAAUUUGAAUGCUGCUUUUAAGCUUGAUGUCUUAUCUAAUGAAGCAUUAGCCAAUACCUUUGGCACAUCACUUUAGAAUUAACGAUUAGAAUUUGGGAAGGACAAACUGGGCAUAUGAAAAUUAAUUGUUAAAAGAUUCUUCGUCUGUGGUCUAGUCUGUUUUUUUAUAUGGUUGUAUAGAAUUCGUUUGCCAUGCCUUGACCCCACCUUUCUAUUUAUUAUUAUCGGCUAACGAGCAAGACACGGAGUGAACAACUUGAUACAUGCUAUCACUCUAAAUUGCAGGGAUUGCAUUGAAAUUCUUAAUCCAUAAUUUAAUCGAAAGGCCAAUACUUAAUUCUAUGGGGUUUUAACUUAGUAUAUUUCUUCUGAUUGAUGGGUACAUGUAAUAUUCUCCCAUAACACAUAAAUUAUGUUUUGUACUCAUUAAACAGAGGGCCAACUUUGUUUGAGUUUCAUGUUUUGAAGUUUUUGUUUCUUUCCUAGUACUUUGGGCUAUGGCUGGUUUUGUCUAUAGCAUCAGAUAAAUUCUUCAAGUAGGAUACUCUUAACCUCUAGUUUUUUCCAUAACAAGUUAAUUAUGUUAUUUGAAAAACAGGAUGGGCGUCGAGUGCAUGUCAUUGAAAGAGACUUGACCGAACCUGACAGAAUUGUUGGUGAAUUGCUACAGCCGGGGGGCUACCUAAAGUUAAUUGAGUUAGGACUUGAAGAUUGUGUGGAGGAAAUUGAUGCACAGCGAGUGUUUGGUUAUGCUCUUUUCAAGGAUGGAAAACAUACACAACUUGCUUAUCCCCUGGAAAAGUUUCACUCAGAAGUAGCAGGGAGGAGCUUUCACA
rnacentral:misc_RNA from 1 species